rnacentral:lncRNA from 1 species
GGGCAUUGUUGUAGUUUCUCUUUUUUUGUGAGAUAUGGUGCUAUAGAUAUAAAAUAUUGGUAGGUUGUGUCCUGCCAUUAUUUAACAUUAAAUUUUAGGUAACUGUGUUGAAUUAGUGCAUUGUCUGUGCAUUUGAUGUGAAAGCCACUGUGCUGUCGCUGCACGCUCUCCGGUUCGAUUGGGUGUUAAAUAACUAGAUAACGGGGAGUAGUUAAUCGGUGUGAGGUUGUAACUUUAUUCUCUCUACCUUGGCUUUUUCUGAAGGUGGGAGGAGACAGUGUUGGAGGUGAAUGUGCAGUAAGUGUGGAACUGCGGUAGAAUAGGCUGUCAGGGUUCAUUAGCCCAAGCCAUCUCUAUCUCUGGAGGAAUGUGGCCAGUGGUUUAAAACCAAUUUCCAUUACCCACCUUCAUUUUAUUAACUUCCGUACCAUUACCAGGGAGCUUCCCUUUGACGGUUGUUCCUGCUCACUGUCUUGUACUUUUAAAAGAUCCCUGCGGGAGCAAGGUUGAGAGGCCUCGCUUAUCCUGUACUCUGUGUUCCCUUUAAUCGUCGAGGGCUGUGUCUUCUGCAUUGUGUAGUCUGUGUUAAACCCAUCUUUUAGAUAUCAGGGCCUUUACAUGUGUUUUUGUGCCUACUUGUUAACUGACAGAAAUAUCUAUUCAUUAACCAAGUUUUUUUUUUUUUUUUGUUGAGAGAAAUUCAGUUGCAUGUUGAUGUUUCUUAACUUAGUUUAAAUUGUCAGCAAUGGCUGGGCUUUAAGUCAAGAUUGGGCUGGAAGAAUCCUCAGGGAGUGUGGGAUGUGUGGUAAAUAGUAACUGUGAUAUCUGCCUACUCCAUGACCCCAGUCACCACUGCUGAUUAGAUCUGUUGGGAGCAUUUGUUCAUGAAUACGAUGGGCUUUUCUUGCAGCCUGAGUGAAGACGAGGAGGAUGGCGCGUGUGAGAUGCGCCUUUUCGUGACUGCCACUCGGGAGCACGGGGAAAUGGAGGAGGAGGUGAAAGGCCAGCUACUCCGGCUUUGAAGUUUCAAAGAGGAAAUACUCUGAGAGGCUCCGAGGGGAAUCACGUCUCUUCACACAGUAUCAACUUAUUUAG